rnacentral:rRNA from 1 species
AUGCAUCAUUGCAAAAAUUCUUGUGCUUCAAGUCAUGCACGAAUCCAUAAGUCAUCACAUUCCAGUUAUGCAUUAUUUUCUAUUUCUCACAUUUUCAGUUUUCUGCUAUCCAAAGAGUCCCUUAGUUGCUUUUUUUUUUCUUCUUUUCUUAUCCUCAGAUUUCUUGGGAUGGGAAAUUUCUCUCAAGAAUUAGAUAGGGCUAUUCAAUUCAAACUACCUUAUAAUACUACAGAAAAGGAGAAGAUUUAUCACCCGGCAGUGCUAAAGUUCCUGAAAGCUAUGAAUCGUAAAAACAGAGCAUACUUUUCCUUAUUAAUAAUGGAAUUAAUUAGUAUACAAUUUGUACUAGUAGAUUUCAUUGUUGGCCUGCAUGAAAGAAGCCAAUAUUUACAUCUCCCCAAAUUUGCACCACCAGUACUAUCUAGUUACUGA